rnacentral:lncRNA from 1 species
CCCACUUGGCCAGCGCGUCCCCCAGCGAGAGGUUGUUGCGCAUCCAGCCGGGCAGUGCCUCUCUGUAGGCGGCGCAGGACAGCGGCACGGACGGCAGCGACUGGACGCGGCGCAGCUCCACCUGCUCCGGCAGCCUGCGGGGCAGGGAUGCGGCAGGGAGGGCUUCAGCUCCCGGCGCUAGCACCGCGGGCCCCGGGUGGACGCGCGGUCGGCGGCUCACCUGGAGGGCAGGUGCCUGCCCAGCUUCCUCUUGGCGCGCAUCACCAGGUGCGCACCCUCAUUGAGCCGGGCGGGCAGGUGCUCCAGGAUGUGAUCUUCUCCGGGCAGCUGCGAGUAAUCCUCCGCUUGGGCGCUCUCCACUGCCUGGUCCUUGUCCUCUGGGCCGUGGGGGCGGGCGGGGGGCAACGCCAGCAAGGGGUUGGGCCGGUUCAGGAGGCCUGGGGUUGGGGAGAGAAGGGAUUCUCAGUUCAUCAGC